GGGUGGGGGUGGUAGCGGCAAGGUUGGGCUGGGGACGACCCUGCCACACUCUAGCCAUUGAACAAGAAGUGUCACGGUGACUUUCCUCUUCCAAGGUGGUGGAGCGUUGGGGACAACCCAGGGGACAUAUUGUAAUUAUUUCCUCCUUUACUUUCUUACUGCCAAGACUGCCGUGAAAGGCCCUGCCUCGUGGCAAGACAAGCUCAGAAGCAGGACGCUGUCAUCACAGCCAGUGCAGGGACAGGAAGUCCAGAUGGAGCCCUGGUGUGUCGAACCGAAAGAGGAAGGUCCCUCUCCUGGUGGAGGGUGACAGCGGCUGGCGACAGGAGGAAGGCUUAAGCGGAAAGCCCUCCAUGCGGAGCGGCAGGGAACCCUUCCAGGUCCUGGCUUCGGGUGUGAAUGUGGCGUGAAGAGGAUCCAGCGCGACGGAGCCUUGUAAAUCACCUCUAGUGCCAUGGAAUAAAGUCUCUGAAGAAGUAUCGAGCAGGAGAGCAACGUACGAAGAGAAAAUCGGGUAUUUCCCUGCACUCUGGAAAGGAGAAAUUAUUGAUUUUUUUCCCUGCCGCAGUCUCUUUACUUAGAUGAAUCUCCUGCAGUUCGCUUUUAGUGGCUCGGUCAGAAGUCUAAGUGAAAGUGAAUAUUUAACCACGUUCAAGGACGACUGAUAAUCUUUCCUGCUAAUAGAGGCGCAAGACUCAAGAGAAAGAAGAAUCUAGAAGGAAAAAAAAAAAAAUAGCCAGGGAAGCAGAUAUGGC
rnacentral:lncRNA from 1 species